GGGAGGGCAGGUAGUGCCUGCGCAGGGAGCUUUGAGACUGUGCUGGAAACGGCAAGAAGGCAGAAGAGCGAUGUGCGGCAAGAAGGCAGAAGAGCGAUGUGCGGACCUCAGGAGAAGUUGGCGGAGGAGGUGACGUCAGCCGGGCAGGGCCUCUGCAGGUCUGCAAGCCACCGCAUCGGGAUUCUAUUUUAAGCUCUGGAGCGAAACACAAGUGACACUGAACUGCAGAGUCUGCAACGUAAAGAUCGUGCAUUUUGAGAAGCACAGCUGGGUACCAUGUUGCCAAGGUUACAUCAGGAGGGCCACUGCUGCUGUGUUUGUGAUGGUGAAAUCACAACCCACCCAGGAGCCAUAUGGAAACUCUGCCUCGGACGCCCCCGGGGGAAUAGUACGCAGCUGUUAACAGCAACAAGGAGACUCCUGGCAGAUGCGGAAACGGAAGCUGCACGAGGGGAAGUGCUGCCCGGGAUAACAGAGCGUGAGGGGCAGACAGGACAGCGCACAGGACCCACGGUUCUUUCCACGGCCGUCCCCUCCGCUCCGAUGGGACC